AGUGAACGCUGGCGGUAGGCCUAACACAUGCAAGUCGAACGGCAGCACAGUAAGAGCUUGCUCUUACGGGUGGCGAGUGGCGGACGGGUGAGGAAUACAUCGGAAUCUACUUUUUCGUGGGGGAUAACGUAGGGAAACUUACGCUAAUACCGCAUACGACCUACGGGUGAAAGCAGGGGAUCUUCGGACCUUGCGCGAUUGAAUGAGCCGAUGUCGGAUUAGCUAGUUGGCGGGGUAAAGGCCCACCAAGGCGACGAUCCGUAGCUGGUCUGAGAGGGUGAUCAGCCACACUGGAGCUGAGACACGGUCCAGACUCCUACGGGAGGCAGCAGUGGGGAAUAUUGGACAAAGGGCGCAAGCCUGAUCCAGCCAUACCGCGUGGGUGAAGAAGGCCUUCGGGUUGUAAAGCCCUUUUGUUGGGAAAGAAAAGCAGCAGGUUAAUACCCCGCUGUUCUGACGGUACCCAAAGAAUAAGCACCGGCUAACUUCGUG
rnacentral:rRNA from 1 species